rnacentral:rRNA from 1 species
UACGUAGGGGGCGAGCGUUGUCCGGAUUUAUUGGGCGUAAAGAGCUCGUAGGCGGUUUGGCAAGUCGGGUGUGAAAACUCCGGGCUCAACUCGGAGACGCCACUCGAUACUGCCAUGACUCGAGUCCGGUAGGGGAGCAUGGAAUUCCUGGUGUAGCGGUGAAAUGCGCAGAUAUCAGGAGGAACACCAGUGGCGAAGGCGGCUCACUGGCCCGAUACUGACGCUGAGGCACGAAGGCGUGGGGAGCAAACAGG